AUUUUUUCAGAGACUUUCAUCCGGCAACGGACAGGGCCUUUUUUUUCUUAAAGGAGAAGCUGCAACUCAAAUAAUUUACCACUUCUCCCCUCGAGAGCUGGCGGCGCUGGGGACAGAAAGGCCAGAGCAGGAAGGUGGGGGUCUGGGUGGAGGCGGGAUAACGUCCAGGCUACUUCUUAGGCUAGUAAGAACCCUUGAGGGGACAGCGGCGCCUCCGGGAGGCAGGUGCGCGCGCAGCCGGCAGGGGGGUGCGCGCGCGGCUGAGAACGGUGCGUUUUGUCCUCGCCUCCGCCCUCGCCAGCCCUGCCCCUCCCACCGCCCCUAGCUUGAGCCGAACUCCAAAGUGGGGGGGGAGAAAGGUCACUUUGGGAUUGUCGCGAGACGCAGCCGUUUAACGGUGAGAACGGGCGCGCGGGCAAGGAAACCUCGCGCUCUCCCUCGGAGCCGUUUCCUGAUUGGUUGGAGGAAGGGGUGGGGGAGGGCACCGAGUGCGCUGCUGCGUGUGAGACCGCGAGGGGCCGGGCCAGGGGGGCCGAUCCUCCCCUCCGAUUGGCCCGCUGCGUGUCCGUCCGGGUGCGCGCGUGCGCGCCGCCGGCGGUCGCUGGCUUGAGUGGCAGGGGGCGGGUGGGGGGGGGCGCCCUCGGAACGGGCGGAGGGGCGGGGGGGAGAGAGGCGCUCCGGAGUGAGGGAGCCGGACGCUCCGGGAGCCGAGGGGGGCGGGGGGAGCUGCGCCGCGGGCGCCGCCGCCUCCACCGCCUGGGACGCAGGGGUGGGGGACGGACGAGCCCCGAUGCCGGGGGAGACGGAGGAGCCGCGAUCCCCGGAGCAGCAGGACCAGGAAGGGGGCCCAGCAGCGGCGGCCGACGCGGCUUCGGAGGAGCUCCGGCCCGGCGCGGCGGCGGCGCCGGCGGCGCCUGCAGAGACCGCGAGCAGCCGCGUGCUGAGGGGAGGUCGGGACCGCGGCCGGACCGCUGCGGCCGCCGCCGCCGCCGCUGCCGCUGUGUCCCGCCGGAGAAAGGCCGAGUAUCCCCGCCGGCGGAGGAGCAGCCCCAGCAACAGGCCUCCCGACGGCCCAGGGCAUCAGCCCGCGGCCGCGAAGCCCCCGUCUCCUGCUCAGGGCAAGAAGAGUCCGCGACUCCAGUGUAUAGAAAAACUAACAACUGAUAAAGAUCCCAAGGAAGAGAAAGAAGAUGAUUCUGUCCUCCCUCAGGAAGUUUCCAUUACUACAACUAGAGCUAGCCGGAGCUGGCGCAGUAGUAGCAGGACCUCUAUCUCUCGCCUUCGAGACAGUGAGAAUACUCGGAGCUCUAGGUCCAAGACUGGCUCCUUGCAACUCGUCUGCAAGACAGAACCAAUUACUGAUCAACUUGAUUAUGAUGUUCCAGAAGAACAUCAGUCUCCCGGUGGCAUUAGUAGUGAUGAGGAAGAGGAGGAGGAAGAAGAAAUGUUAAUCAGUGAAGAGGAAAUACCAUUCAAAGAUGACCCAAGAGAUGAGACUUACAAGCCCCACCUUGAAAGGGAAACCCCAAAGCCACGGAGAAAAUCAGGGAAGGUGAAAGAAGAGAAAGAAAAGAAAGAAAUUAAAGUGGAAGUAGAAGUAGAGGUGAAAGAAGAAGAGAAUGAAAUUAGGGAAGAUGAGGAGCCUCCCAGGAAGAGAGGGAGAAGGCGAAAAGAUGACAAAAGUCCGCGGUUACCCAAAAGGAGAAAAAAGCCUCCAAUCCAAUAUGUCCGUUGUGAGAUGGAAGGAUGUGGAACUGUUCUUGCUCACCCUCGCUAUUUGCAGCACCACAUUAAAUACCAGCAUUUGCUGAAAAAAAAAUAUGUAUGUCCCCACCCCUCCUGUGGGCGACUCUUCAGGCUCCAGAAACAACUUCUGCGGCAUGCAAAGCAUCAUACAGACCAGAGGGAUUAUAUCUGUGAAUAUUGUGCUCGGGCCUUCAAGAGUUCCCACAAUCUGGCAGUACACCGGAUGAUUCAUACGGGCGAGAAGCCAUUACAAUGUGAGAUCUGUGGAUUUACUUGUCGACAAAAAGCAUCUCUUAAUUGGCACAUGAAGAAACAUGAUGCAGACUCCUUCUACCAGUUUUCUUGCAAUAUCUGUGGCAAAAAAUUUGAGAAGAAGGACAGUGUAGUGGCACACAAAGCAAAAAGCCACCCUGAGGUGCUGAUUGCAGAAGCUCUGGCAGCCAAUGCGGGCGCCCUCAUCACCAGCACAGAUAUCUUGGGCACUAACCCAGAGCCCCUGACACAGCCUGCAGAUGGUCAGGGGCUUCCUCUUCUUCCUGAGCCCUUGGGAAACUCAACAGCUGGAGAGUGCCUACUGCUAGAAGCUGAAGGGAUGUCAAAGUCAUACUGCAGUGGGACAGAACGGUUGAUUUAGGGGAUGGCUUUCGCAGAGCAAUCACCUCUGACCCUUCACCGCCGGGACCUCUGUAGCCGCUCUAUCUGGCUAGCAAGGAAGAUUCGUUCAGACCUGACUGCUCUUAUGGAAUCUUAUGUAAAACAUCAAGGCCUGAAUAAAAAUAUCAGCCUUGACUCAGUGGAUGGUGUACCAGUGGCAAGCACUGAUCGCUGGAGUGAGAUGACUGAGGCAGAGCGACUCCAAGAGAACCUCCAGGCUUACCGUACCUUCCAAGGGAUGUUAACCAAGCUUUUAGAAGACCAGAGAGUGCAUUUCACCCCGACUGAAGGUGACUUCCAUCAGGCAAUACAUACUCUUACGCUCCAAGUUUCUGCCUUCGCCUACCAGCUAGAGGAGUUAAUGGCGCUUCUGGAACAGAAGGUCCCUGAAAAAGAGGCUGAUGGGAUGCCUGUCACAAUUGGAGAUGGUGGCCUCUUUGAGAAGAAGCUGUGGGGCUUGAAGGUCCUUCAAGAGCUUUCACAGUGGACUGUGAGGUCUAUCCAUGACCUCCGUGUCAUUUCUUCUCAUCACAUGGGAAUCUCAGCACAUGAGAGCCAUUAUGGGGCCAAGCAAAUGUAGCUCUUAACUCUUGCCUCUGUCUCCCUCUUUGAUCUAAUGGGAUAUCAGUAGUUCCCCAGGGGCCUAGUUUUCUCAGCAUCAAUUUUGGAAAACCUUAGACCACAGGCAUAUUUCGUCAAGUAGGGUUGACCCACGUAUGAACAGAAGAUAAACAUGGUUAUUCUGGCUGUGCAUAUGUGUGUACAUGAUUUUGUUUGUAUUGGUGGUAUAAUAAAGUAUAAUUAGGGCAUUAUCCUUCCACCUUAGUGCUUUACCCUUCCUGAUACUAAAUAACCUUUCCAGGUGUUUAACAGUCUUACAGGCAGAAGAGACAUUGUGACUAGUUUUGGUUGACUUCUGAAAAGACUGAAUAAACAAAUUGGAAGUCCUA
rnacentral:lncRNA from 1 species